rnacentral:rRNA from 1 species
UGGGGAAUAUUGCACAAUGGGCGCAAGCCUGAUGCAGCCAUGCCGCGUGUAUGAAGAAGGCCUUCGGGUUGUAAAGUACUUUCAGCGGGGAGGAAGGGAGUAAAGUUAAUACCUUUGCUCAUUGACGUUACCCGCAGAAGAAGCACCGGCUAACUCCGUGCCAGCAGCCGCGGUAAUACGGAGGGUGCAAGCGUUAAUCGGAAUUACUGGGCGUAAAGCGCACGCAGGCGGUUUGUUAAGUCAGAUGUGAAAUCCCCGGGCUCAACCUGGGAACUGCAUCUGAUACUGGCAAGCUUGAGUCUCGUAGAGGGGGGUAGAAUUCCAGGUGUAGCGGUGAAAUGCGUAGAGAUCUGGAGGAAUACCGGUGGCGAAGGCGCCCCCCUGGACGAAGACUGACGCUCAGGUGCGAAAGCGUGGGGAGCAAACAGG